CCCCCCGGGGGGCCCGAGGGGCCCGCCCGGCCC
rnacentral:miRNA from 10 species